UAGUACGAGUCUCAAUGCAACGUGUCCUUCAGUACGUCUGUCUGUUUCUAAGCAAGAUAGUCUCCGUUUUGAAGUCUUCUUUAUCGGCUAUGGCAGUUGAGUACCGAUCUUUGUGAAUGGGUAUCAACAGUUUCGACAACCCUUCUUCUUGUUAAUAAUGGAAUAAAACACAAGCAAUAACUACAACACGGACUUAUCUAAGUAGCAGCAGAAACAGCUGUUGAUUCGCGUGUCGAAUAAAUCCCAUCGAAUGUUUUCGUUUCUCUCUCUCUCUCCCUCUCUGUCUUUCCCUAUCGGAGCGUCGCGGCGUCUAGCCGGCCCUACAGUUUGACAGCCAUAAUCGUAUGAUGCUGCUGCCUGCUGCUGCUUUUGUGUUGAACACCUUUACAAUUUUGGGUGUGUUUCAUAUUAGCAUAUGUAUAAACGCCAGCUUACAUAAUCAACAGACUGCAAAAAUGAUAACACAUGAAACAAGAAAAGAAGUGCCCACACAGCAUUUAUACGGUUCUUUUUGGCUGUCUCCCGCAAAAAUCACAGUUUUUUGUGCGGACAUUGGUUUUGGAACCACUUUAUUCCUAUGUUUAUAUGUGGACUACUCCCAGUGCUAUCUUUCAAUAAAAAAUGUGUGGGCUAAAUAAAAAGUU